rnacentral:lncRNA from 1 species
CAGACAUCUCUGCACUGACCCCCCUGCUCCCCAACCAGCUCCUCCUGGACUCUCUACAGCUGAGCUGGACCCUGCCCUGGCCACUGGGUACCUUUCCUUGGAAUCAGGUGCCCAGUCAUUGGCUUUGGUCAUAUUGGAGAGGAUGAGCCAAUCUACCCAGAAAUCUCAUCUGCUGGGGAACACCCUGGUACCUGGCAGGUUCUUCCCCUGACUGCUUUUCUUGCCUCAUCCUGGACCGGGUGACUCAGAGGCCCCGAGAACAGAGAGGGAUAUUUUCAGGGUCUUGUCAGGGAAGGAGACAACGCUGGUGUCCUGUAGCCUCACCACUCAAAGACUCCUGACCUUAGCCUUGUCCCCUACACAUGUCCACUGAGAUAAGACCUUAGCCAGAUGUCUGUCCGGGCACCAGCUGGCUUUGCCCUUGGUCUGUGCUAGCUCCUCCUGCAGGUACUUGUGUCCAGCCAUAUGCCUUAGACCCAUGUGCCUUCCUCCAGGGUGCCUGUGCAUCCCUGAGACUUCAUC